CUUGGAAGCUCACGCAAGGUCAGUUUGCACAAAGAGGCUGCAAUAGGUGGACAGCUUUGGGUAAGAAAGUUCACCAACAGUAAAAUAGCACUGGCUCCCUGGGAUGGUGAGAAGAAUUAACAUAAAAUCACAGAGUGCACGGAGCAUGACAGAUUCUGGCAAAUUGAAUUGGUAACAAAGGAAAGAUGGAUUUGCAGUGGAGGUCGCUGGAAUCAGAAAUAAGAUGCUUUGCUUGCAGUGUAGCUCGGCGAUUUAAAGGACCCUGAAACCAAGCCUGGUGACCUGAGUUGGAUCCCCAGGACCUACAUGGUGCAAGGAAAGAUCUGAUUCUUACCAGUUGUCUUCUGACCUCCACACGUGUGUCUGUGUGAACAGACUUUUGCUCUUUCUCUCUCUCUCACCCACCUACCCAC